CACCCUCCGCGAUUGUUAGGGAGAAACCUAAUAUAAAGUGGAAUGAUGUUGCCGGGUUGGAAAGUGCUAAGCAAGCUUUGCAGGAAGCUGUUAUUUUGCCAGUCAAGUUCCCUCAGUUCUUCACCGAGAAUUCAAUAAUGUAUUUGACGUUGUCACUUGUCACCGGCGAACUAGUCCUUGUACGCUGCCUCCUCAGACAUUGACAACAAUAAAAAAAUUUUGAAGCUUUGAUUUUGAAUUCGAAUUUUUAAAAAUUAUUAUUUAUUUGAAUUGGGUGUCGUUGCAAACGAUUGAGAAUAUCCUUUGGAGUUAAUAUCUCAAUUUUGAGGAUAUUCGGUGAAGAUUAGAUUUGAUUUUAGCUGAAUUUUCAGAUUAAAAUUCGAAAAGGAAGAAGAUGUACAAAAGUUGUAUGAAAUUUGUAUGAAAAUGUAUUUAGUUGUAUUC